AUGCCAGGCAGCUGGAUUCGAAUAUAGACUAGUGACUACGUGCUUAUUGAUUCCAGACCAAGCUAUCGGUGUGGCUAACUAACUAACUACUACCUCUCUCCAACCAUCCGGUUCCCCCGCCUUAUCGCACCGGUAUCAUAGUCUCAGUCAAGGACCGCGUGCGACUACAUUACCGGAUCAUUCGCUGAGGAAUGA
rnacentral:sRNA from 1 species